rnacentral:rRNA from 1 species
GAUGAACGCUGGCGGCGUGCCUAAUACAUGCAAGUAGAACGCUGAAGGAAGGAGCUUGCUCUUUCCGGAUGAGUUGCGAACGGGUGAGUAACGCGUAGGUAACCUGCCUGGUAGCGGGGGAUAACUAUUGGAAACGAUAGCUAAUACCGCAUAACAGUAGAUGUUGCAUGAUAUCUACUUAAAAGGUGCAAUUGCACCACUACCAUAUGGACCUGCGUUGUAUUAGCUAGUUGGUGAGGUAACGGCUCACCAAGGCGACGGUACAUAGCCGAACUGAGAGGGGGAUCGGCCCAAAUGGGAAUGAGAAAAGGGCCAGAAGUCUACGGGAGGGAGCAGGAGGGAAACUUCGGAAAUGGACGGAAGUCUGAACGAGGAACGCCGCGUGAGUGAAGAAGGUUUUCGGAACGUAAAGCUCUGUUGUAAGAGAAGAAAGAGUGUGAGAGUGGAAAGUUCACACUGUGACGGUAUCUUACCAGAAAGGGACGGCUAACUACGUG